rnacentral:lncRNA from 1 species
AUUAAGUUAAAAUUCAUUGCUCAAAUAUGACAAUCAAUAAUUUAAUUUUUGACUGAUAGAUUUAUAUUUUAGUAUUUCUUUGAAAUUUCGACAAUUAGGUAAAAUUAAUUAAAAUCAUUUUAUUUUUGCUGUUUCAAUCUAAUGGGGGAUUUUACAGAAGCCAUAGUUCCGUCAAUUUUUAUAGUUGCUUUACUUGUUGCCAAUGCAUUUAUUGUGAUAUAUAUCAGAAGAAAAGUUAAACUACAAGAAGCCGAAGGCAAUCCUUAAAUUAAAUGUAUCACUGAUAGUAUCUACAAUAAAAUUAUGCUGUAAAUAAAAGUUGCAUUAGUUUUUUAUAAAAAAAAUAAGUUUUAUCUUUAAUCUCCUUAGAGGAUAAACAUCUCGAAUCUUAUGAUGAGACAAAAAUAUUUAUUAGAGAAAAUUAUUAUAGAAAACCGAACUGCAAAGUGUCCUACCCAA